AUGAACGCUGGCGGCGUGCCUAAUACAUGCCAGUCGAACGAAACUUCUUUAUCACCGAGUGCUUGCACUCACCGAUAAAGAGUUGAGUGGCGAACGGGUGAGUAACACGUGGGCAACCUGCCCAAAAGAGGGGGAUAACACUUGGAAACAGGUGCUAAUACCGCAUAACCAUAGUUACCGCAUGGUAACUAUGUAAAAGGUGGCUAUACUACCGCUUUUGGAUGGGCCCGCGGCGCAUUAGCUAGUUGGUAGGGUAAAGGCUUACCAAGGCAAUGAUGCGUAGCCGAAUUGAGAGGUUGAUCGGCCACAUUGGGACUGAGACACGGCCCAAACUCCUACGGGAGGCAGCAGUAGGGAAUCUUCCACAAUGGGCGAAAGCCUGAUGGAGCAACGCCGCGUGGGUGAAGAAGGUCUUCGGAUCGUAAAACCCUGUUGUUAGAGAAGAAAGUGCGUGAGAGUAACUGUUCACGUUUCGACGGUAUCUAACCAGAAAGCCACGGCUAACUACGUG
rnacentral:rRNA from 1 species